GAAACUGAGGCCCCAGGACCCCCAGAGCUAGAGGCUGAGCCUGGCGUGAACCCAAGAGCUCUAGGCAACCAAAUCUGUUCUCUUCCCUUCAAGGGCCUCCCUGCAGGAUUAUGAGAAGCCAAGAUGGUAAAGAGAUAUUUGUAGUUGCCAUCUGGAGAUUCUUGUGGGCAACAUCAUGAGCUCCUGGAAAGAGAGGUUCAGCCGGAACUUGAGGCACUGGGCAACUGUCUGGACAUCAGUGGCAAGCCCAGCCAGACCGAUGUACAACCAACCACCCAUGGGAAAGAUCUCCUGGAAGUCCGUGGUCACCAUCUGGGCCUGGAUCCCAAAGUGCCUGUCUGCAGCGAUGGCCGCACAGUUCUUCCCCUUCAUGGCCAUGAUGGCUCCUCCGUUAUAGGACAUAAUAGGCAUGAUUGUGUGGUGUACGAGGACCCCUCCAUUGCCGGAGCAAUUCCAGUAAACCGGGUCUAGCCUUCACUCCUGCCCAUCAUUUCUGACAUUUAGACUCUACACAGAGGGCCCUGAGAUUCCAGGCCUUUACUCAUCCUGCAUCCCCUACCUACUUGGAUGAAUAUUAAUAUUUACAAUAACAGAGAAAAGUUCUCCAGAAUGUCUGGCAGGUGAAAGACGUUAAAUAAAUGGAAAGUGUUGUUA
rnacentral:lncRNA from 1 species